CACUAAAUAAAUAUUCAGUGUUCACCUUCUACUGUGAUUUAUGAUUGAAUUUCACAGAGUUGUAGAUGAUCUGUGUGGGAGGGGACCUUGCAGACCUUGUUCCACCCCAGCCAUGGCAGGGACACCUCCCACUGUCCCAGGCUGCUCCAGCCCCAAUGUCCAGCCUGGCCUUGGGCACUGCCAGGGAUCCAGGGGCAGCCCCAGCUGUGCCAGGCACUGCCCAUCCUGCCAGCCAGGAACUCCUUCCCAGCUCCCUUCACUCCUCAUCAACAGGCUUUUACCUACAGCUCAUUCCUGGAGAGAGAACACUGCACUUGUGGUUUUUGUCUGCUUCAUUUCUGUGCUGUGUCUCCACUUGUCUGGUGUCUGAGAAAGAGCAACUGUCAGAAGUCAGCGAAGCUGCUGAAUUUCCACUCCAGCAGACGUUUCCUCCUUUGUAA
rnacentral:lncRNA from 1 species